GGCUCAGAUUGAACGCUGGCGGCAGGCCUAANACAUGCAAGUCGAGCGGUAGAGAGGUGCUUGCAUCUCUUGAGAGCGGCGGACGGGUGAGUAAUGCCUAGGAAUCUGCCUAGUGGUGGGGGGAUAACGUUCGGAAACGGACGCUAAUACCGCAUACGUCCUACGGGAGAAAGCGGGGGAUCUUCGGACCUCGCGCCAUUAGAUGAGCCUAGGUCGGAUUAGCUAGUUGGUGAGGUAAUGGCUCACCAAGGCGACGAUCCGUAACUGGUCUGAGAGGAUGAUCAGUCACACUGGAACUGAGACACGGUCCAGACUCCUACGGGAGGCAGCAGUGGGGAAUAUUGGACAAUGGGCGAAAGCCUGAUCCAGCCAUGCCGCGUGUGUGAAGAAGGUCUUCGGAUUGUAAAGCACUUUAAGUUGGGAGGAAGGGUAGUAACCUAAUACGUUGCUACUUUGACGUUACCGACAGAAUAAGCACCGGCUAACUUCGUG
rnacentral:rRNA from 1 species